UGAGAGUGUUUCAACUGCCACUGCGCCACGUCAGUUUAGGCAGUUUCCUACGUUGAACUGAUGAAACCCCGCGCGGCGGAGGGCUCGCGGAGACCAUGCUCGCCGCCGCCGCCGCCGCCGCCGCCGCCGUCAAGGGGAGGAUCAAAUCGCGGCCACGGCUACCUCCUCUCGCCUCGCCGGCGACGACUUCCACAUGCGCUCCCGCUCCCGCCGCCACCGCUCGCCGCGGCUCUCAUGCGGCCGCGUCUCAAGUCGUCUCCCACGCGUCGCUCCUCCUCCGGCUGCAGUCGUGCCCGGAUUUCCAGGAGGCACGGAGGCUUCACGCGGCGGUCCUCGUCGGCGGCCACGGCCACGGCACCGUCCUCGUCGCACAGUUGGUGCGCGCGUACGCGAAGCUCGGGGAUGUCGCGCACGCGCUGCGGGUGUUCGACGGAAUGCCGAGGAGGAACUCCUUCGCGUGGAACGCCGUGAUCAAGGGCCUUGUCGACGCUGGUAGAUUCUCGGAGGCGCUGGAGAUGUUUUGGGGGAUGGUGAACGAUGGCUCGGUAGCGGUGGAUGGUUUCACGUAUCCGCCUGUCAUCAAGGCGUGUGCUGCGCUUGGAGCUGUUGCGCAGGGGAGGAAGGUAUGGGAGAUGGUGGAGACUGACAUUGCCAGCGGUAAUGCGAGGCCCAACGUGUUUGUGCAGUGCGCGCUUGUGGAUAUGUUUGCAAAGUGUGGGUGCUUGGAUGAAGCAAGGAAUGUUUUUGAGAGCAUGCAAGUGAGGGAUUUGGCUGCGUGGACUGCGAUGAUUGGAGGAACUGUGCAUUCAGGGAACUGGCUUGAGGUGGUGGAUUUGUUCAAUCACAUGAGAUCAGAAGGGUUUGGGGUUGACUCUCUAAUUGCUGCAACUGUCAUUUCAGCGUGUGGGAGAGCAGGUGAAUUGCAGGUUGGAACUGCAUUGCAUGGAUGUGCUGUGAAAAGUGGAGCAAGUGGUGAUAUAUAUGUUUCCAACGCCUUGGUAGAUAUGUACUGCAAAUGCGGUUGCGUAGAGAUGGCUGAUUGUCUUUUCUGGUCUACAAAUUCCAAAGAUGUUGUCUCCUGGAGUAGCUUGAUUGUGGGGUAUUCACAAAAUGGAAUGCAUAAUGUGAGUGUCAGUUUGUUCUGUGAAAUGAUCUCUUUGGGGAUAAACCCCAACUCUAGUACUCUGGCAAGCAUACUUCCUUGUCUUUCUGUGCUGAAGUUAAUCAGGAGUGGAAAAGAAAUUCAUUGCUUCUCUAUAAGACAUGGACUUGAGAGAAGUGAGUUUGUAGUGAGCGCACUUAUAGACUUGUACAGCAAACAGGGGUUGAUAAGGGUGGCAGAAACUAUAUUUUGGCUUACGCUGGACAAAGAUCUAGCCAUUUGGAACUCAAUGGUUGCAGGAUAUGCUGUGAAUGGAUAUUCAGACUCUGCAUUCUGCGCAUUGAGGUUAUUACAGAAAGUGGGUUUAAAACCUGAUCAUGUGACUGUUGUUUCAGUUCUUCCUUUAUGCAAUCAACACCAUAUGCUCAUCCAGGGUAAGGAACUACAUGCAUAUGUGAUCAAGUAUUGUAUUAACUCAGUCUGCUCAGUCAAUAAUGCACUUCUAGAUAUGUAUUGCAAGUGUGGUUUCCUAGAAGUAGCUAAAGAGGUUUUUCAACUGAUGACAGAACGCAAUACAGUUACAUAUAACAUACUGAUUUCUUCUUUUGGAAAGCAUAACCAUGAAGAUCAAGCCCUAUCAUUUUUCGAUCUAAUGAAGAGAGAUGGAAUUGCUCCAGAUAAAGUGACUUUUGUGGCACUACUAUCUUGUUGUAGCCAUGCUGGUCUCAUUGACAAGGGUUUGCACUUAUAUCAUUCCAUGUUACAUGACUACAAUAUUUCUCCAGAGAAGGAACACUACUCAUGCAUUGUUGAUCUCUACAGCAGAUGUGGGAAGCUUGAUGAGGCUUGGUGUUUCAUGUCAAAUAUGGCAGAAGAGCCAGAAAUCGAUGUCCUUGGAGGGCUCUUGGCAGCAUGUAGAGUGCAUAAUAGAAUGGACAUUGCUGAGCUGGUUGGGAAAAGAAUAUUUGAGCAAAAUCCCAAUGAUCCUGGCUAUCAUAUUCUGCUUUCUAAUAUCUACGCCGAUGCUGGAAUGUGGUCUGAUGUGACAAGGAUAAGAACUAUGAUACAAGAGAGAAAUUUGAAGAAGGAAACAGGAAAUAGCUUGACCUAAAAGUUAAACAAUGAGUGCACAAGUCUGUAUAAAAAGACAAGAACCUUUUGUUAUUUGUUAGAUCAUCAAACUAAAAAUGCGAUUGAAAAGUGCAGCUUGAUAAUUGGUAACAGACCUAGGAGAAUGGGAACUGUUAAGAAUCAGAGAAAAGCAAACCGUUUUCAACAUGCUUUUAGGACAUUUUCUCUAGAGGAAAUGAAGACUUUUUUGGGUAUAGGAGAUACUGGUAUUUGUUCACUAGCCAAGGACAUACUUUAUCAAGAAUACACUCCAAGGGAUGAUUAAUUAUUUAAUCAAGGGAAAAGGAUACUGCAGCGUCAAGCAAUAACUUGGUGCAAGGUUUGAUCUCCAAUCUGUUAAUGACUCUGAAAGUAAUACUACCUCCGUCCUAUUUUAAGUGUAGCCAUGAGUUUCCGUGUCCAACGUUUGACCAUCCGUCUUAUUUUAAAUUUUUUAUUAUUAUUAGAUGAUAAAACAUGAAUAGUACUUUAUGCAUGAUUCAUUUUUGUUAAAAUUUUCAAAUAAGACAGACGGUCAAACAUUUGACACGGAAAAUCACAACUGCACUUAAAAUAGGACAGAGGGAGUACCGAGUUAUUCAUGUUGGACAUGCUACAAAGAUUUGGCUUAUUGUGGAUCAGUUCACCUGUUGCCAUCAUAUACAGCAACACUUCGCAAUCAAUGGAUACCAAAAGCAGAAAGAGAACUAAAAGUAGAGUCAGUAAAGCAUCUAGAUUUCACAGCUGAUGCAUCAGAUGCAAUACACAAGGGCAAUUUAAUCAAUUAAAUCAUUAAGCUAGAACAAGACAGUGGGCUCACGGCAUGUAUACAUCAUAUAGUGGAUAAUGGAGAUAUCCUGCCUAUCCUACAUGUUGCUGCUAUCUGAAGUAUGUGCAGAAGACAACGUGGCCUACAUUCUUACAGCUUUUCUUGGACCAAAUAUGUUUCCUAGAAUUGACAAUUCGACAAGAUAAGAAUCUGCAGACUGUAACAAGGCUGUACGCGUACCGAUGAUGAUUCAAGUAAAUCUGAUUUGCCUGGAGGUAUAGAUUCACUUUCAAGCUUGAAGAAAGCAAAGGAAGAAGGGCAUCCUUAUCUAAUGCGGGUCACAUCUGUUCGACAGCUCUGAAGAUCCGGUGUCAUUUGGACCACCUGCCCUGCUGCAGUGGUAACUUUCUUCAUCCACACACUUUGAAAUUCUUUAGCAAUUACUAGCUUCUAAACCAUAUUAAUUCCAAUAGAUCCGCAGACCAAUAAUUAGCUCCACUUAAGUUCACAUGUUGCUACAGCUUCAUGUAGCCGUUACUCGGGCGGUCGGCCGUUGGCCAGCUGCAGCCUGCAGAUACCGGAGCAUACAAUGUACCCUGCACAUGUGGAGCCUUGCUCUAUACAUCUCACAAUCCAAAAUUUUGACAACAAUUCCUAGUUAAUACUUUGACUCCACCUGUUACUAGCUGCCUGACGCAGAAAAUUGGCAAAUGCCUGUACCACUGUGCAAGGCUUUGGAGUUCGGAGCUUAAAUGGCACACCUCUCCAUGUGGGCAGAUAAGGUCGUCCUGAGAAUGAGCUACCGACCCACGCCCUCUCUUCAUGCUGCAGCCACCGACACUGUUUGAAUUUCUGCACUAAUGAAUUGCUUUGCUACUAGUACCACCCACCAGGGAUUAUUAGUUGCUGUAAGAGACAGUUUUGGAGGUUUGCUUGAUCUCAUGAUUCAUCAGCUCGAUCGUUUUGUAGGCUACUGCACAGCACAGUGUUGUCCGAGAGCUCAGUUUCAGCAAGGAGGGGGGGGGGGGGGGGUUCUGUCCAAUCAUGGGCAUGCCGAUGAUGGGCAAUUUCAUUGUAAAGGGUACCGACACAUAUGCAGGGUUUGAAGGAUCGCCUAGCUGGCUUAUCCUGCUACUAAUAAGUUGACUUCCCCAGGGCAUCCAGUAUUUGGUGGAUCUGCUUCCACGUAGCACUGAACUGGGUCAGUACUUUACUAAUCAGCUAUCAGGGCCGUAGUUUAUGGGAAAUGCAGUUAUAUUUUCCAAGGCAAACACAACUCUACUAUAUCCCCAAAUGCACUGUUUUCCAAGACAAGCAUAUCAAUUCUGUUACAAGCACAAGUAUACAUCCCAAAAUGGUGAGGUUUUCAUCAGAAAGGGAAUUGCAUGUGAAUGCAGCUAACGGAUCGGGGUAUAAUUCAAGCUGGAUUAUUCGAUCCUAACCUUCAUCUUCAAGCAAUCAAAUUAACAGCCCUGUUUAACAAAAGUUUGAGAGAUUUUGAAUGAGGAUCCGUGCAUGCAGCAGGAAAGUCGGCACGGAAGCUGGAGAUGAAAAGCUGAAACAUGAUUUCUUUUCAAAGAAAAAUGAAAAAAAAAAAACAGCAGCACUGCGCUGGCAGCCGGAGCCAAUGGGCGAGGGGCACGUGUCCCCGGAUUCCUCGACCGACCAGGGAGACUCCGCACGAGCAGGGCACGUGACGGACGAUCCGCUCGUCUUUAUAUACGGCUAAUGCGUCGCUGGUGAGUUUACCUGCAUCGCAUCAGCUCUCUUGACUCCUCUCUCUUCGUCUCAGCUUGGAGCUCAGUCUUUGAUUUUUCUUCUUCUUCUUGUUUGUGCAAUUGUGCAUCGUUGUUAGCUGGGAACAAGCAGAAGAAUGGCGGACAGCACGGCGACCUGCAUCGACAUCAUCCUCGCCAUCAUCCUGCCGCCGCUCGGCGUCUUCUUCAAGUUCGGCUGCGGGAUUGAGUUCUGGAUCUGCUUGCUGCUCACCUUCUUCGGCUACCUCCCCGGCAUCAUCUACGCUGUCUGGGUCAUCACCAAGUAGGAGGAGAAUUACUACCCUUCCAAGGUGAUGGUGAAUUGGUGAUCCGGAGCCUGUGAUUGGUUGUGCCUGGUGUAAGCGGCAGUUGUCAAAGCUGUGAUUUUCUGGUUCUUUGGACGGAUGGUGCUCGCUGUGGUGUUGUGUAUGCUGUACAUCUGUUUUGGUGUUUGUGCUUAGGUCCCUCUUCUGUUACAACAAUUGUUUUCUCCCUGUUCUUCCGGGGUACCUUCUCCAGUUUAUCUUCUGCACCUUCUCGUCCCUGUACUUUGAAUAUUAAUUAAUUAAUUAAUUAAUUGCUCCUUGUUAGCCAUCUGCUCAAAGAGUAAUUUAAGAAUCGUUUGACAAA
rnacentral:lncRNA from 1 species